UUAGUAUCAGUGUGAUUAGUAUCAGUAUGAUAGUGUGAUUAGUAGUAUAUCAGUGUGAUUAGUAUCAGUAUGAUUAGUAUCAGUGUGAUUAUGUGAUUAGUAUCAGUGUGAUUAGUAUCAGUAUGAUUAGUAUCAGUGUGAUUAGUAUCAGUAUGAUAGUGUGAUUAGUAGUAUGAUAGUGUGAUUAGUAGUGUGAGUAGUAGUAGUAUGAUAGUGUGAUUAGUAGUAUGAUGGUGUGAUUAGUACUAUGAUAGUGUGAGUAGUAGUAGUAGUAUGAUGGUGUGAUUAGUAUCAGCAUGAUAGUGUUUAUUAUUAGUAUGAUAGUGGGAGUAUUACUAGUAUUAUUAGUGUCAGUGUGGCAGUAUCAAAGUAGUAUGAUAGUAGAAAGGUACAGUUGAAGUCGGAAGUUUACGUACACUUAGGUUGGAGUCAUUAAAACUCAAUCCACAAAUUUCUUGUUAACGAACUAUAGUUUUGGCAAGUCGGUUAGGACAUCUACUUUGUGCAUGACACAAUUAAUUUGUACAAAAAU
rnacentral:lncRNA from 1 species